rnacentral:rRNA from 1 species
GAUGAACGCUGGCGGCGUGCUUAACACAUGCAAGUCGAACGAAGCAUUUGCGACAGAUUUUUUCGGAAUGAAGUUGCUUAUGACUGAGUGGCGGACGGGUGAGUAACGCGUGGGUAACCUGCCUUGUACUGGGGGAUAGCAGCUGGAAACGGCUGGUAAUACCGCAUAAGCGCACAAUGUUGCAUGACAUGGUGUGAAAAACUCCGGUGGUAUAAGAUGGACCCGCGUCUGAUUAGCUAGUUGGUGAGAUAACAGCCCACCAAGGCGACGAUCAGUAGCCGACCUGAGAGGGUGACCGGCCACAGUGGGACUGAGACACGGCCCAGACUCCUACGGGAGGCAGCAGUGGGGAAUAUUGCACAAUGGAGGAAACUCUGAUGCAGCGACGCCGCGUGAGUGAAGAAGUAAUUCGUGAUGUAAAGCUCUAUCAGCAGGGAAGAUAGUGACGGUACCUAACGAAGAAGCUCCGGCUAAAUACGUG